AAGAGGUGGCUGAGUGGUUUAAAGCGAUAGUUUGCUAAAUUAUUAUACAAAAAUAACAUUGUAUCAUUGGUUCAAAUCCAAUUCUUUUCAU
rnacentral:tRNA from 1 species